UUUGGUGGCGAUAGCGAAGAGGUCACACCCGUUCCCAUACCGAACACGGAAGUUAAGCUCUUCAGCGCCGAUGGUAGUUGGGGGUUUCCCCCUGUGAGAGUAGG
rnacentral:rRNA from 1 species